rnacentral:lncRNA from 1 species
CUCUCGCAUUUCCUGAGCUGCGGAUACUUGAAUUGUCGGAUAACAGCUUUACCGGAAGCUUGCCACCAAGUUUCUUUGUUAACUGGAAAGCAUCAUCAGUCAAGAUAAAUGAAGAUGGGCGUAUGUAUAUGGGAGACUACAAAAAUGCUUAUUAUAUCUAUGAAGACACUUUGGAUUUGCAAUACAAAGGUCUAUUCAUGGAGCAGGGGAAAGUCCUUACUUCCUACAGCACCAUUGAUUUCUCUGGAAACAAACUUGAAGGACAGAUUCCUGAGUCCAUUGGUCUGUUGAAGGAAUUGAUUGCGCUCAACUUAUCAAACAACGCCUUUACUGGCCAUAUUCCUAUGUCUUUGGCAAAUGUUACGGAGCUUGAGUCACUAGACCUGUCAAGAAACCAACUAUCAGGGAAUAUUCCUAGAGAACUCGGAAGCCUUUCGUUUUUGGCGUAUGUAAGUGUGGCUCAUAAUCAACUCAAAGGUGAAAUACCACAAGGACCACAGUUUAGUGGGCAAGCUGAAUCAUCAUUUGAAGGGAAUGUAGGUCUAUGUGGUCUUCCUCUCCAGGGAAAUUGCUUUGCGCCACCAACACUCUAUUCAAAGGAAGAAGACGAAGAAGAAGAAGAGGACGAAGUGUUAAACUGGAAAGCAGUGGUUAUCGGGUAUUGGCCUGGACUGUUACUUGGAUUGGUAAUGGCACACGUCAUUGCUUCAUUCAAGCCGAAGUGGUAUGUCAAGAUAGUUGGUCCAGAUAAGGGCAAGCAAGUAGAUCCAGUUAGAUUGUUUAUGACUCUGGAUUCAAGAUGGGACAGUUUUAAUAAUAAGGAUAAUGUAGAAGAAGAAAGUGAUACGAAAAUAUAGAAUGUGGAUAUGUUGUUACCUGAUGUAAGAAAGAAGUUGACUAGUUUCUGUAACUUUUGGUUCCCUAAAUUAAGAUCUCUCUUUUGGCUGAUAAUAUCCUGAUGUAUCUCUUGGUAGAUUGUUGAGGUAGAGGCUUAUGACAUAAGGCAUUGGUUCUUCUCUGAUUCUUGAAUUAACCCGAGCCGAUGUUUCUUAAUGCACGAAAACCGUUGUUUCAGCUUCCUAUUAAGACAAACUGGAUGAAAUGAACAUAAGACAGUCCGAGCCUGUAAGAUCAUACAAGUCUCAAGAAUUCAAUCUCAGAACAGACAUUCACGAGAAUCUCUUUUUUAAAAUGUAAAUGCUACCACUCACAAUUGAUACAAAUCAGUUUAUAUCAUGAGAGGACUUACCAAAUAUAACAAUCUUGUUACACUUUGAACUAACAUUCUCAGAUAACAGAGUAUGCACAACAUAUCAAUCCAGAGUAGCUAAAACCCUAGAAUCAAAUUCACUAAAUUGAUUUCAUUUCAUGAUUCGAUUAUUCUUGCUUAUCAAAUCACGAGAGAAAAAAAAAAAAAAAAAAAAGAGUACAACAAAUGAGAUCACCUGGAACUACUUGAUUUAGGAAGCCUCUACCAAAACGUCGACGAGAGUGACGGUGAUCGCAAUAGCUCCGCCGUCGUCGCAUCAUAAAAUCUCCUUCUCGAUUUGUUUGUUACUAAAGUAGACUUUACAGGAAAUACUAACAAUCUGGUUAAUUAAAUUAUUAUUACCGGUUUUGUCUAAAUUGGUUUACUUACUGCUGGUUUAGCAUUUUAAAAAAUUAGUGCUGCUGGUUCAGCUUCUUUUUACUACAAACAAACACCAAAGAGAUCUACUCUCUUUCCAAAAUUGAUUAUUUUUCCACUAAUUCACAAGCUCUCAAGCAUUAAUCAGUUUUUCUUUUUAUUUUCUUUUAACAGUUCUUGAGAUUGACUGAUAGAGAAACUUAUAACGCAAAGAGAUGUCUAAGUUUUCAAAGUUUGACAACGUCUUCUUCUCCAAUUCACAAACAAAUCAAUACCAAAUCUUAUCCUUAAGACAUUAAAGGUUACAAACUCUUUAACCAAGUCUUCUCCAACCAACCAACCAACAAACAAAAUUUAAUGCCAUUUCAUUGUAAAAGGUCACAAAUUCUUAAAAUAUAAUAGCCCAAGAAAGUUUAAUGAGAAUAUAAAGUUUCAACAACUAUAUCACUUAUUUGCACAAGAAAAUUCAAAGAGAAUAUAAUGUCUUCAUCUUAAAAGAAGUGUAUAUGGCUGCUAUUUUCUAUUUCUAUUUUUAAAUAAGUAAAAAUCUUAUAUCAGAAAUUUUAUCCAAUGCAAAAAAAAAAAAAAAAAGAACACACAUCCUAUGUCUAUUUAAACCAAUCUUCUCCAGCACUUUGCUUAAAUAUUGUUAUUCUUCAUAAAAGUUUUCAUGAAGACCAUAAUGUCGGUGCUCUUACUGUUUUCUAUCUUUGCUGCAAGCUUCACUCUUGUUGUUGGACUUGAUGGUUGUCGUCCCGACCAGAUUCAAGCCAUAACGCAAUUCAAGAACGAGUUUGAUUCCAGAGAUUGCAACCAAACUGACUACUUCAAUGGAGUAGGGUGCGAUAACACAACUGGUGUGGUCACAAAGCUACAACUCCCAAGUGGCUGCCUUCGUGGAACCUUAAAGCCCAACAGUAGCCUCUUCAGCUUGCAGCAUCUUCGUUACCUUAAUCUCUCAAAUAACAACUUCACUUCUGCUUCGCUCCCUUCUGGAUUUGGAAAUCUCAACAAAUUACAGGUCUUGUAUCUUUCCUCUAAUGGCUUUCUAGGUCAAGUUCCUUCCUCAUUUAGUAACCUUAGCCAGCUUUACAUUUUAGACCUUUCCCAUAAUGAGCUCACGGGUAGUUUCCCAUUUGUACAAAAUCUAACAAAGCUCUCGAUUUUAGAGCUUUCCUAUAAUCACUUCUCUGGAGCCAUCCCUUCUUCUCUCCUCACUUUGCCUUUCUUAUCAUCUCUUCAUCUGCGUGAAAACUAUCUCACUGGUUCUAUUGAAGUUCCUAACUCCUCUACCUCAUCUAGGCUCGAGUUCAUGUACCUUGGGAAUAACCAUUUUGAAGGACAGAUCCUAGAGCCUAUCUCAAAGCUCAUCAACCUCAAGGAGCUCGACAUUUCUUUCCUAAACACAAGCUACCCAAUUGACUUAAACCUCUUCUCCUCUCUCAAAUCUUUGGUGAGGCUUGUUCUUUCCGGUAACAGUUUAUUGGCUACUAGUAUAAGUUCAGAUUCCAAGAUCCCACUGAACUUGGAGGAUUUGGUCUUGUUGAGUUGUGGUCUCAUUGAGUUCCCAACCAUCUUAAAGAACCUUAAGAAAUUGGAGUAUAUAGACCUUUCCAACAAUAAAAUAAAAGGGAAAGUCCCUGAGUGGUUGUGGAACCUUCCUCGUCUGGGCAGAGUGAAUCUUUUAAACAAUUUGUUCACUGAUUUAGAAGGUUCGGGAGAAGUUUUACUGAAUUCAUCGGUGAGGUUUUUAGAUUUGGGUUAUAACCAUUUUAGAGGACCAUUUCCAAAACCACCACUCUCUAUCAACCUCUUAUCUGCAUGGAACAAUAGUUUCACAGGAAACAUACCUCUUGAAACCUGCAACCGAAGCUCUCUUGCUGUUCUUGACCUAUCCUACAACAACUUAACUGGUCCAAUUCCUCGUUGUUUGAGUAAUUUCCAAGAGUCUCUCAUUGUAGUGAACCUCCGGAAGAACAACUUGGAAGGAAGUCUUCCAGAUAUAUUCUCUGAUGGUGCCUUGCUUCGGACACUUGACGUUGGCUACAAUCAACUAACCGGGAAGCUUCCAAGGUCUCUUCUGAAUUGCUCUAUGCUAAGGUUUGUAAGCGUAGACCACAACAGAAUCAAAGACACAUUUCCUUUCUGGCUUAAGGCUUUACCUGAUUUACAAGCUCUUACCCUCCGUUCAAACAAAUUCCAUGGCCCUAUAUCUCCUCCUGAUCGAGGUCCUCUUGCGUUUCCCAAGCUGCGCAUACUUGAAAUAGCAGAUAACAACCUUAUAGGAAGCUUGCCACCAAAUUACUUUGUGAAUUGGGAAGCAUCAUCACUCCACAUGAAUGAAGAUGGGAGAAUCUAUAUGGGUGACUACAACAAUCCUUACUAUAUAUAUGAAGAUACAGUGGAUUUGCAAUACAAAGGUCUAUUCAUGGAGCAAGGAAAGGUCCUUACUUCCUAUGCCACCAUUGAUUUUUCUGGGAACAAACUUGAAGGACAGAUUCCCGAAUCCAUUGGUCAUUUGAAGGCAUUGAUUGCACUCAACUUAUCAAACAACGCAUUCACAGGCCAUAUUCCUCCAUCUUUGGCAAACGUGACAGAGCUGGAGUCACUAGACCUCUCAAGAAACCAACUGUCCGGGAAUAUUCCUAAAGGACUCGGGAGCCUCUCGUUUUUGGCGUACAUAAGUGUGGCCCACAACCAACUCACAGGUGAAAUACCACAAGGGACACAAAUCACUGGGCAAUCUAAAUCCUCCUUUGAAGGGAAUGCAGGGCUUUGUGGUCUUCCUUUGGAGGAGACUUGCUUUGGGAGUAAUGCGCCACCAACACAACAGCCUAAGGAAGAAGACGAAGAAGAGGAACAAGUGUUAAACUGGAAAGCAAUGCUUAUAGGGUAUGGGCCUGGACUGCUGUUCGGGUUGGUAAUAGCACACGUUAUUGCUUCAUACAAGCCGAAGUGGUCGGAGAAGCGCAAGGAAGUCAAUCCAGUUAGAUUGUUUAUGACUUUGGAUUCAAGAUGGGAUAGUUUUAAUAAUAAAAAUAACGUAGAACAAAAAAGUGAUAUGUAAAUGUAGUAUGUGGAUAUAUUGUUACCUGAUGUAAGAAAGAGGUUUUACUAGUUAGUUUCUGUAACUUUUGGUUCCCUUA